rnacentral:rRNA from 1 species
GACGAACGCUGGCGGCGUGCUUAACACAUGCAAGUCGAACGGAAAUGCCCUGCUUUUGUGGGGUGCUCGAGUGGCGAACGGGUGAGUAACACGUGAGUAACCUGCCCUUGACUUUGGUAUAACUUCAGGAAACUGGGGCUAAUACCGGAUAGGAGCUCCUGCUGCAUGGUGGGGGUUGGAAAGUUUCGGCGGUUGGGGAUGGACUCGCGGCUUAUCAGCUUGUUGGUGGGGUAGUGGCUUACCAAGGCUUUGACGGGUAGCCGGCCUGAGAGGGUGACCGGCCACAUUGGGACUGAGAUACGGCCCAGACUCCUACGGGAGGAAGCAGUGGAGAAUAUUGCACAAUGGGCGGAAGCCUGAUGCAGCAACGCCGCGUGCGGGAUGACGGCCUUCGGGUUGUAAACCGCUUUCGCCUGUGACGAAGCGUGAGUGACGGUAAUGGGUAAAGAAGCACCGGCUAACUACGUG